rnacentral:rRNA from 1 species
UACGAAGGGGGCUAGCGUUGUUCGGAAUUACUGGGCGUAAAGCGCACGUAGGCGGUUCGUUGAAUUAGAAGUGAAAGCCCUGGGCUCAACCCGGGAAAUGCUUUUAAGACUGGCGAACUUGAAUCCGGAAGAGGGCAGUGGAAUUCCCAGUGUAGAGGUGAAAUUCGUAGAUAUUGGGAAGAACACCAGUGGCGAAGGCGACUGCCUGGUCCGGGAUUGACGCUGAUGUGCGAAAGCGUGGGGAG